CUUGUCUUAGCCGAGUAGUUAUCACAACAGACUCAAAAUCUGUUUCUCUUGGAGUUGGUUCGAAACCUGCCGAUAACA